ACCACAUCCCUGGGGCAACAUAUACCAGGGUAUCACAUCCCAGAGUAUCACAUCCCUGGGAUACCACAUCCCAGGGUGCCGCAUCCCCAGGGUGCCAUAUCCCCAGGGUACCGCAUCCCUGGGGUACCACAUCCCUGGGGCACCACAUCCCUGGGGCAACAUAUACCAGGGUAUCACAUCCCAGAGUAUCACAUCCCUGGGAUACCACAUCCCAGGGCGCCGCAUCCCCAGGGUGCCAAAUCCCCGGGGUACCACAUCCCAGGGGUGCCACAUCCCUGGGGCACCACAUCCCUGGGGCAACAUAUACCAGGGUAUCACAUCCCAGAGUAUCACAUCCCUGGGGCAACAUAUACCAGGGUAUCACAUCCCAGAGUAUCACGUCCCUGGGAUACCACAUCCCAGGGUGCCACACCCCCGGGGUACCAUAUCCCAGGGUGCCACAUCCCCACAGCACCACAUCCCUGGGGCACCACAUCCCCAGGGUACCAUUUCCCCGGGGU